ensembl:snRNA U2 U2 spliceosomal RNA
AUCGCUUCUCGGCCUUUUGGCUAAGAUCAAGUGUAGUAUCUGCUCUUAUCAGUUUAAUAUCUGAUACAUCCUCUAUCCGAGGACAAUAUAUUAAAUGGAUUUUUGGAACAGGAAGAUGGAAUAGGGGCUUGCUCCAUCCACUCCAUGCAUUGACCUGGUAUUGCAGUACUUCCAGGAACAGUAACCAAAAA